rnacentral:antisense_RNA from 1 species
GUUUGAACAUUUAUUUGCUUCCUGAGCUUGUACAACAGUCGUGGGAGUUGCUGCAGAAGCAACCGAAAAGCCAGAUGAGCGCUUCUAAGCUUAGGAGGAAGAGAGAGGAGGGCAGCCACCGAGGAUUCUUGAGAGACCGUAGAGUGAAUGAAAGAGUUGGAAAGACUUUAAAGCUCUGGGAGGCUGAAUCCUUUAUUUCGCUGGAAGAAAAACUGAAAGCCAAGAGGGCCAUGCUUUCCCCAAAGCUUUACAGCCAUCAGGGGCAAUGCUGGGACUCCCCCAUGGAUCUCUUGACUCCUAAUACAGUGCUCUUUCUGAUAUGCCAUCUGGCUCCGUAAUGAACAUCGUGUUCCAGGAAAAUCAGUCUGCGCUGAACAGGAUGGAAUUGGGGCAGGAUGUCCAGUGAGGAGGACAUUGAGGCAGUAGAGCAGUUGAUUGCCAAAUGACCACCUACCCUGACUUAAAAGAUCAACCUCAGGGUGGAUUGGAGCUUUCUAGAGUCUCUUGGGACAGCAGAAACACAGGCCGGGUUGGACUGAAUCUUUAAGUGGGACAUGAGGGACAAAGUACCUCCUGUUGGUAAACAUCUCACCACCAGCCCACUGUGGUGGCUAAAAUCCCACCUUUAGUCCCAGCAACAUGUGAGCAUGUCACCAGGAGGUCUUCACUGGCCUGUCUGCCACCUGAGUAUAGGCAUCUUGUGUCCCUGGAGCCCAGAGAGGCUGAAUGUGGAGAGGGUGGAGAGAGGUCUGUAGUCCUCAGAGAAGACUUGCAGCUUUUUCAGAGCCACCAACCCCAUAAAAAAAAAAAACCCCCAAACAGAAAAACCCUAACUGUGGUGACCAGGUACCUCCUGAGACAUGAAGCCUCCACUUACCUGGACCCUGGAGGCCUUUCCGGGCACAGCUGCCAGUGUUGAUCUUAGAUAAGACCACCAGCAAGUAAACACCCAC